rnacentral:rRNA from 1 species
UACGAAGGGGGCUAGCGUUGCUCGGAAUUACUGGGCGUAAAGCGCACGUAGGCGGAUUGUUAAGUCGGGGGUGAAAUCCUGGAGCUCAACUCCAGAACUGCCUUCGAUACUGGCAAUCUAGAGUCCGGGAGAGGUGAGUGGAACUGCGAGUGUAGAGGUGAAAUUCGUAGAUAUUCGCAAGAACACCAGUGGCGAAGGCGGCUCACUGGCCCGGUACUGACGCUGAGGUGCGAAAGCGUGGGGAGCAAACAGG